rnacentral:rRNA from 1 species
UACGGGGGGGGCAAGCGUUGUUCGGAAUUACUGGGCGUAAAGGGCUUGUAGGUGGCCAACUAAGUCAGACGUGAAAUCCCUCGGCUUAACCGGGGAACUGCGUCUGAUACUGGAUGGCUUGAGAUUGGGAGAGGGAUGCGGAAUUCCCGGUGUAGUGGAGGAAUGCGUAGAUAUCGGGAGGAACACCAGUGGCGAAGGCGGUUGCCUGGAGCUUUGCUGACGCUGAGGCGCGAAAGCGUGGGGAGCGAUCCGG